UUAGCAGCUCGGCACACUAGUAGCCAAUUUAGCGUUUGCUGCAACGUGCGCUUCUGCGGUCCUUUGGGUCUGUACGCAUGUGGACGAAGGGUGGCUGUAGCAGUUGGAAGAACAUAGAAGUGAUCAGAAGUAACAACUAGUUGCAAUACUCUUCGUUUCCAGCUUCGCUGCCGGGAAGAGCUCAGCAGGUGGCAGACUGCUGGAAGGUAUCACAACCGGUGCAGAUGUGUGAAAACGUUUCUGGUACCCCUCCAGAUGUUCGGAGCCUAGCCAUCAAGCCGCGACGGUUCACUUUACUGAGUUACAAUAAUCUUCAAGCCGGUACGGAGACAAGCUGCGGCCUGGACAACCGGGGUUCCAUUCCCGGCAGGGUGAGCUCUUACUUUCUGUUUGGCAACUGCCCUGCGUUUCUUCUUCUUGGCUGAGAGAGACAAGACGAAGGUGAAUUAAAACGAAGACAAUUAAUUGUGGGUUUUGGCCUACAUCAGGCACAGCAAUAUAAUUGUUUUCAUUGGAAGUCACACAUUCUGCCAGAACCACUGACAGCAGGAUCAAAAUAUGAUGAACUACAGCCAACACUGAGUAUAAUGCAUAACACUGUACUCGAAGAGAACACACCAAAACACAAAUAAUUUGUUAUUAAUAGUAUAGGUGCUGCUUCUGUAUAAAUAUAUGGUAUAAAGUUAACACCACUUCCAUUUUUAUCCUCAGAACAAAAUGGAAAGCAUUUAUUAUAUGAAUGCUUAACUUUGUCUGAAAAGGAGUUAUAUAUAAUCAAAAAGAGAUCAAGCCCACUGAAAUCAAUAGUGAACUGAAAAUAUUAAUACAGGAAUCCUGUUUGUUAUAGGCUGCCCGAUUCCACAGGAAGCAAUUCCUUAUUAAAAGAAAAAAAGAUUGCUUACUUAGUCAUAUCUAUUAUGUGCCUUAAGUUUGUCCAAUAUUUGACAAUUUGUUACUAUGGUAACCCACACUUGCAUAAUUUCUUAAAAUCUUAAUUUCCACUCACUGUUACAAAAUGAGAAAUUAUAUCAAAAAGCAAAGAUCAAAUUUCACAUAAUACUCUACAGACAGCAGGCCUUCAACCUACUGGUUUCAGAAAUCCAGACUAAUUAGCAGAUUCAUCGCUAUCACAGACUCCAAAUUAAAAUAAAACUUUUGGAGUAUACUAAUGUAAGAUACAGAACAGCAAAUUUAAAACUGUUACCUUUGUAAAAGAAUUAAAAUAGAUAUUCUGGUAGUUUUAAUACAUCUACACAUACUGAAUGCACCUAUGGUAUCAAAGUUCUGUGCUAAAAGUGGUCCAAUAACAGAAAAAAUACAGCAAUUAACAGUCACUUUUAAUAAUAUCCAUAUACUAAAAUAAAAAUUAUAACAAAAAUUCACCCCAAGAAGGUAUUUGUUGUCAUGUCUUUCCUCAGUACAUCACUUAAAAUAUCAACUGGCAGACUACAGCAUACUGACAUGAUCCUACCUUUAAAGUAAGACUGUAAAAAAGCUGAAAACGAAACAAAACAACAGUGAUGUUGAACUCAUUGAGAAUAAUAAUGGAUUUUGGGUGUGCAUUCUUUUUCUAGUCAGGCCCCUAAAACCGUUUUGAUUCUCUUGUCAUGCCAUUUUCUAGAAAGUGUGCUCAUACUUUUUCUGAGAGAUGACUGAAUUCCAUAAAAGAAAUAAAUUACUUUAUAUACUGUACUGUUAAAAAAAGGUAAAGCUAUCCCUGUUAACAGGCCGUGGGG